UACGGAGGGUGCAAGCGUUAUCCGGAUUCACUGGGUUUAAAGGGUGCGUAGGCGGGCAAGUAAGUCAGCGGUGAAAUCUCCGGGCUUAACUCGGAAACUGCCGUUGAUACUAUUUGUCUUGAAUAUCAUGGAGGUAAGCGGAAUAUGUCAUGUAGCGGUGAAAUGCUUAGAUAUGACAUAGAACACCGAUAGCGAAGGCAGCUUACUACAUGUUCAUUGACGCUGAGGCACGAAAGCGUGGGGAGCAAACAGG
rnacentral:rRNA from 1 species